UACGUAGGGUGCAAGCGUUAUCCGGAAUUAUUGGGCGUAAAGAGCUCGUAGGCGGUUUGUCGCGUCUGCUGUGAAAACUGGAGGCUCAACCUCCAGCCUGCAGUGGGUACGGGCAGACUAGAGUGCGGUAGGGGAGAUUGGAAUUCCUGGUGUAGCGGUGGAAUGCGCAGAUAUCAGGAGGAACACCAAUGGCGAAGGCGGGUCUCUGGGCCGAUACUGACGCUGAGGAGCGAAAGCGUGGGGAGCGAACAGG
rnacentral:rRNA from 1 species